GAUGAACGCUAGCUACAGGCUUAACACAUGCAAGUCGCGGGGCAGCAUUCACUUAGCUUGCUAGGUGAGAUGGCGACCGGCGCACGGGUGAGUAACGCGUAUCCAACCUGCCCUUGUCCACGGGAUAACCCGGUGAAAACCGGCCUAAUACCGUAUGAGGUCACAAGCGGACAUCCAACUGUGACGAAAGGUUUGGCGGACAAGGAUGGGGAUGCGUCCGAUUAGCUUGACGGCGGGGUAACGGCCCACCGUGGCGACGAUCGGUAGGGGUUCUGAGAGGAAGGUCCCCCACAUUGGAACUGAGACACGGUCCAAACUCCUACGGGAGGCAGCAGUGAGGAAUAUUGGUCAAUGGACGGGAGUCUGAACCAGCCAAGUAGCGUGCAGGAUGACGGCCCUAUGGGUUGUAAACUGCUUUUAUAGGGGGAUAAAGUGUGCCACGUGUGGCAUAUUGCAGGUACCCUAUGAAUAAGGACCGGCUAAUUCCGUG
rnacentral:rRNA from 1 species